CGCCCUUAGAGUUUGAUCAUGGCUCAGAUUGAACGCUGGCGGCAGGCUUAACACAUGCAAGUCGAGCGGUAGGGGAGCUUGCUCCCUACGAGCGGCGGACGGGUGAGUAAUGUCUGGGAAACUGCCUGAUGGAGGGGGAUAACUACUGGAAACGGUAGCUAAUACCGCAUAACGUCGCAAGACCAAAGAGGUUCGUCUUGCCAUCAGAUGUGCCCAGAUGGGAUUAGCUAGUAGGUGGGGUAAUGGCUCACCUAGGCGACGAUCCCUAGCUGGUCUGAGAGGAUGACCAGCCACACUGGAACUGAGACACGGUCCAGACUCCUACGGGAGGGC
rnacentral:rRNA from 1 species